UCCCGGGUGACUCAGACGGCAAAGAAUCUGCCUGCAAUGUAGGAGACCCAGGUUCGACCCCUGGGUUGGGAA
rnacentral:tRNA from 1 species